UACUAAAUGAAAACAUCGCCUUCCUCCUCGCUUCUCAUAGGGGGCACUUAAGCAAUCAAGAAAAAUCAAUAUUUUUAGUUUAAAUAUUAUAUUUUAAUUAAAUAUUAAAAUUAAUUAAAUACUAAAUAAAAACAGCGCCCUCCUCCUCGGUUCUCAUACGGGGCACUUAAGACCUGUGUCCUGAUCCCUGAUGGCCAUAAUCCAAGAUACAGCUUGAUCAAGAUCGGCAAGAAGUUCAACUAGGAGGCCUACGACAAGGAUUGCAGCCACUAUUCCUGGGGGAUUCCCUUAAAAAACGCCGGCAGGGCAUAAGUGCCCCCAGCGAUGCCCAUGUCUUGGGCAAUUUCUAUCCAAAUAGUCAUCAGAUGGAUUGAAUGGACUAAGUUUUAUACAAUAAUAAAUUCCUAUUUUUUUUUUCCAGUGUAAGACUAACUCCUGUUGCGGUUGACUGCACUGGCCGCCUGUCAAUUCGAGAAGUCGUCACUUGGCUCCACUGCUCUGCUUGCGGUUGACAUUCGCGACGAUGGUUGUCAUGCCUAUGGCCUCCAAUCCGCUGGAAUUAAGUCCAUUCCCAGCUCCACUGCCACUGGCGACCUCCUGCUUCCUGUGACAAGUGUGGCUUUGAUGGGUGGCCAAUUCGGGACUAUCUCUUUGAACCAGAACAUCAGCCCACCUCCUUGGGGUUUAAAGUUUCCAUGAGAUGAGUGGGUUACAAGAGGUCGAAUUUGAUGGCCUUGAAUGUUACAAUAAUAGAAGCUAUUGUUUUAUAUUUAAAUUGUAAGGAAUAUAUAACAGAUGCUGUAGAUUUUAAAAUUGGGAAUUUUUAGUUAUUAUUUAAAUCACUCUUAAAGAAUAAACAGAAAAUUACUUGU